UCGGCCGCAGUCUUCUGGGAGGCCACGACAACGUCCCUGAAGCCGGCUCCCGGGGGCGAGGCCUCCCUCUCACCUGAGCGAGGCUGGGCUGGGCCCGGGUACGCGCGGGCCUCGGUUUCCACACCAGGAACCGUUUUAGCCAGCCUGGGGCUGCCUUUGGAGUUGCAGUUGCUUCCGCCUUCUCUCCUGAGGUCUGCCACCCUUGCACUUGGAGGAUGACUGUCACCGCUCGCUCAGUCUCAGCAGGCCAUGCAGACCCUCUAUCAUAGCUUUUGCCACAAUGCAAACUACCUCUCGGUGUGUCGAGAUGGGUCAGAAACUAAAAAUACAAAAAACAAAAA